rnacentral:rRNA from 1 species
UAGGGAAUCUUCCACAAUGGACGCAAGUCUGAUGGAGCAACGCCGCGUGAGUGAAGAAGGUCUUCGAAUCGUAAAACUCUGUUGUUAGAGAAGAACACGAGUGAGAGUAACUGUUCAUUCGAUGACGGUAUCUAACCAGCAAGUCACGGCUAACUACGUGCCAA